rnacentral:ribozyme from 13 species
UUUUUCAAUUUGUUUCUCUCCAUCUUUCCCCAUUCCGGGGGGAAUGGCAGUGAAAGCGGUCGUGGGAAGGUCAGGAAUAGUGUUUUUAAUAUCAACAAAGAUUUCUUGAAUUAAUUCUUUAAGCAUUUUUUUAAAUGGAGCUAAUG